UGACAUACAAGCCUGACCGACUCCAUGCUCCCCAUCACGCUGCACAGGGCUGUGGGCAUUUGUUCCUCCUGGACUGAGCAUGAGCCUGGGUCUGGCAGCUGGGGACGACAGUGGCACGCGGAACUGAGAGCCCCAUGGGGCACAUCACCUCUCAAUCUCCAGCCGAGAGAGGCAGCUCCCUAACCUUCACCCCCGAUGCUCCCGGUCACUAUGAGGAGAGGAUGGGGGUCCGUCCUGGAACACACGGCGGACCACCUGCAAGAAGAGAGGCCAGAAGAGCAGAGUGACAGGACGGAGUGGCAGUGAGAGGAGAAACACACACAAGUAGAGGAGGAACAGGGCUGCAGCUGGCACAGACUCCGGGGUCCAGGGCGCUCACCAAACCUGGGGACGACAGAUGUCACGUGGAGGAGGAGGGCACGCUCCCGGCACACACAGACCCCCACUGAUGGCCCUGCUCAGGUGACCUGUUCCCCUAGUUAUUUUAGGGUUUUUCCCACCUGAUACUGCCUCAUCUGGCUCCUCCCAACCUUCAGCGGGAAAUCUAAGACCUGAGCCACUCCCUUCUGGGUGUGGGUGGAGUGGAAUUUGCUGCAGGAGGUUCAAACCACAAUGGUGAGGUCACCCACAAGACAGGACACAACCUGUUCACGGAGUUAAUUCGUCCUCAGAGAUCUCAGAAUUUUUUUUUUAACCAAGCAUAUAUUUUGGGUGUAAAAUGUUCCUAAAAUUCUCCAUGUGGUUGCUAAUGUCUCCGCACCUACUACAUAGUAGUCACAGCUUUGCAAAGCGUAUUAUCUGGAGGUGGAAUAUUUCAGACCAGGGGUUUGUGAAAUGCAGUCUCAGGAACUCUGAGCCUCCAAGACCUUCUGGGGGCCUGCAAGGCCAGCACUGUUUCCUGACACUCUGGUUCUCCUCUCACGAGUGCACAGUGGAAUUUUUUGGAGGUUACAUGGUGCACAGUACACAACAGAUAGGAUGCGGAGCAGAGAUGAUAAUCCUGUCUUCUAUUGGUCCAGACAUUAAAGACAUCUGCAGAAACAAGGCAAUGCUACUCUUCUCACUACAGUUGCCUUGUUUUAGAAAAUAUUCUUCAUAAAAAUGCUAUUUAUAUUAUUAUUCAAUGGGUUUCCUAUUGGGACUUUGAGGUGAGCUAGUAAAUACUUAAUUUUUUCCAUUUUAAUUUCUAAUAAAGUAGUUCAUGAUCAACAUAACCACAUUUAAAAAUCUCUGAGUUCUUAGUAAUUGUGAAGAGUUUGGAACUGUUCUUUAAACCUCAGUGCUGCUCAUGAUCUAUCCACCACCUACCCUUCCCCCACUCUGUGCCCUCCUCUAUCUUCCAGAGGCAGCAUGUCACCCUCACACUCACACACACACACACACACACAACCUUGAGUGAACUGAACAAACGUUUGCCUUGAUAACGGAAAUGAGUUUCUUUCAGAGGUUGGCCUGACAUGACCAGAUGGCCAAGGAGAUCACGAACAAAUCGGCAGGAGCCAUGGCAGCCUUGAGAUGCUAAGGAGGGAGAUAAUCAGUGACUAAAACACAGGAUUAUGCUGGUGAGAUGGCAAAACGGGGCAGUCACUUUGGAAAACAUUUGACAGAGACCCAGCAACCCCACUCCUAGGCAUCUACCCAAGAGAACUGAAAACUAUGUCCACACAGAAGUGGUAUGUGAAUGUUCACAUCAGUAUUAUUAUCCACAACAGCCGGAAAGUAAAGUGGAAACAGCCCAGAUGUCCAUCAACUGAUGAAUGGGUCCUUCCGUACAACGGAGCGCCAGACAGCCACAGAAAGGAAUGGCGUCCUGACCUGAGAUACAACAUGGGGGGAACCUGGAAAGCGCGAUGCUGAUGGAAUAAGCCAAGAGGCUCCCUCCAAGAGCAGCGGACAGCCUGUUGGUCCUGCUGAGACAGUCUACACUGGCAUGAGAAGGGCACCAACAAAACCCGUUCACCAAGAGCCGGCCCCGCCCUAGCCAAGAAACCCAGCUGCACACCUGUGCAGACGGCUGAUGGCAGCGGCAUCACAGGUGUGUCACGACCUGGGCAGGAGGCGACACUAGCACCUGGCAGGGAAACUGCCAUCUCUGGGCUCUGCCUCUUCGUGCCUCCCCUCCCCCAAGAUGGAAAGACAGGAUAGAAGCAACGCUGGCAGGCUCUGCUGUCGAGCACUCGACAUGGACUGCCCACGACCAAGUCACAUCCUGAUGGCCCUCUUGGGGAAGCCCACCGGCGCCAGCAGAGCCGGAUCAGACAGUCAGCCAUCCCUGUGAGGAGGUCGCCUCUCACCCUGGAUGGUGACUCCUCUCUGUGGCGCCCAUGCUCAGCAGAUGACUGAGGAGGGAGAGAAACAUGCCAAGGACCACAGUCAAAGCAGAACUUCUUUGUCUAACUGCCGACGGGGGGCAUCUGUGAUGAUUCCUGGACAAUGACCCUAACCCUCACGACCUGUGCUGGACAAUUCCUGAAGACUCCCUCUGUGGCACCACUGAGCAUGUGGGUCGGGAGCGUCUCCCAGGAGACGGAGGCCCUGGUGCCCAGAGUCACAGUGGAGCCUGACCCCUGGCCAGUCACCCUCCCUGUUCAAGGCCCUCCUCCUCAAGGCUCUUUUCCUGACUCUUCUCACUUCAGCCUAUCAGUAUGGACACUCGACUCCAACAAUGUGUCAGAGAAAUGCAGAAGAUGUGACAGCUGUUUUUCUGCAACAGUUCCCGAGAGGGCAGGUGGACAGAGCAGGGCGCCCCGCACAGGGGUCCAGCAGCAUGUCUGUCUGUCUGCUCAGCUCCAAGGCCAUCAGUCCACCCGAAGCUGUCGUGGGAAGCAGUGAUUUUCCGUCACUCUGACGGUGGACCAGAUGAAACCUGGUAGCUUGGAUUUCAAAGACUCCACGACUUAGCCCAAACAUAAAACUUCCUUCCAACUGGCAAAAAAGUAAUUUUCUAUAUUAAAUAUCGGAAUUAUAUAAUUAUAAUUAAUCAUUUUAGCUUGAAUUUUUGGAAUUAAGGAUAUUUUGUUAAGAUUUAUGAGAAGUAUAUUUUGUUAAAGUUUAUGAGAGUUGCUAUGAAACACAAUAAUUUGGGGGAAAAAAAGAAACAACUUGUGUUUACUGGGCUGUGGAUGGAUGACUGACAAUGGAUGAUAUCACUAACAGGCAAUUAUAACAUCCAGCAUUCC